AUUGAUAAGGUAAUGGUUUUAUUUGAACAUUUUGUUCUGCUUUUGAACAUUCUUUUACCAUCUAGGUGUUUUAUAUUCCUCCAUUAGCUUGCUCUUCCUGCUGGUCACGAGAAGGACGAAGAUACCGCUGACACAGUGGGUUGCUGUUCACUAAGAUAUGAGCACAUAAAACUUCAUAAAC